GACAGCAGCCGCCACGGGAAUACGAAGGGUGCAAGCGUUAAUCGGAAUUACUGGGCGUAAAGCGCGCGUAGGUGGUUUGGUAAGAUGGAUGUGAAAUCCCCGGGCUCAACCUGGGAACUGCAUCCAUAACUGCCUGACUAGAGUACGGUAGAGGGUGGUGGAAUUUCCUGUGUAGCGGUGAAAUGCGUAGAUAUAGGAAGGAACACCAGUGGCGAAGGCGACCACCUGGACUGAUACUGACACUGAGGUGCGAAAGCGUGGGGAGCAAACAGGAUUAGAUACCCGCGUAGUCCCUGUCUCUUAUAC
rnacentral:rRNA from 1 species